GACGAACGCUGGCGGCGUGCUUAACACAUGCAAGUCGAACGGAAAGGCCCUGCUUUUGUGGGGUGCUCGAGUGGCGAACGGGUGAGUAACACGUGAGUAACCUGCCCUUGACUUUGGGAUAACUUCAGGAAACUGGGGCUAAUACCGGAUAGGAGCUCCUGCUGCAUGGUGGGGGUUGGAAAGUUUCGGCGGUUGGGGAUGGACUCGCGGCUUAUCAGCUUGUUGGUGGGGUAGUGGCUUACCAAGGCUUUGACGGGUAGCCGGCCUGAGAGGGUGACCGGCCACAUUGGGACUGCGAUACGGCCCAGACUCCUACGGGAGGCAGCAGUGGGGAAUAUUGCCCAAUGGGCGGAAGCCUGAUGCAGCAACGCCGCGUGCGGGAUGACGGCCUUCGGGUUGUAAACCGCUUUCGCCUGUGACGAAGCGUGAGUGACGGUAAUGGGUAAAGAAGCACCGGCUAACUACGUG
rnacentral:rRNA from 1 species